UACGGAGGGAGCUAGCGUUGUUCGGAAUUACUGGGCGUAAAGCGCACGUAGGCGGCUUUGUAAGUUAGAGGUGAAAGCCUGGAGCUCAACUCCAGAAUUGCCUUUAAGACUGCAUCGCUUGAAUCAUGGAGAGGCGGGUGGAAUUCCGAGUGUAGAGGUGAAAUUCGUAGAUAUUCGGAAGAACACCAGUGGCGAAGGCGGCCCGCUGGACAUGUAUUGACGCUGAGGCGCGAAAGCGUGGGGAGCAAACAGG
rnacentral:rRNA from 1 species